rnacentral:rRNA from 1 species
UGGGGAAUUUUGGACAAUGGGCGAAAGCCUGAUCCAGCAAUGCCGCGUGUGUGAAGAAGGCCUUCGGGUUGUAAAGCACUUUUGUCCGGAAAGAAAUCCUUGGCUCUAAUACAGUCGGGGGAUGACGGUACCGGAAGAAUAAGCACCGGCUAACUACGUGCCAGCAGCCGCGGUAAUACGUAGGGUGCAAGCGUUAAUCGGAAUUACUGGGCGUAAAGCGUGCGCAGGCGGUUUGCUAAGACCGAUGUGAAAUCCCCGGGCUCAACCUGGGAACUGCAUUGGUGACUGGCAGGCUAGAGUAUGGCAGAGGGGGGUAGAAUUCCACGUGUAGCAGUGAAAUGCGUAGAGAUGUGGAGGAAUACCGAUGGCGAAGGCAGCCCCCUGGGCCAAUACUGACGCUCAUGCACGAAAGCGUGGGGAGCAAACAGGAUUAGAUACCCUGGUAGUCCACGCCCUAAACGAUGUCAACUAGUUGUUGGGGAUUCAUUUCCUUAGUAACGUAGCUAACGCGUGAAGUUGGCCGCCUGGGGAGUACGGUCGCAAGAUUAAAACUCAAAGGAAUUGACGGGGUCAUAGCUGUUUCCU